GGAGACGUGGCCGAGUGGCCGAAGGCACUUCCCUGCUAAGGAAGCAUCUGGGGUAACCUGGAUCGUGAGUUCGAAUCUCACCGUCUCCGCCA
rnacentral:tRNA from 14 species